rnacentral:rRNA from 1 species
UCGGGACCCGUCUUGAAACACGGACCAAGGAGUCUAACAUAUGUGCAAGUUAUUGGGAGAUAAACCUAAUAGCGUAAUUAACUUGACUAAUAAUGGGAUUAGUUUUUUAACUAUUUAUAGAUAAUUAACACAAUCCCGGGGCGUUCUAUAUAGUUAUGUAUAAUAAUAUUUAUAUUAUUUAUGCCUCUAACUGGAACGUACCUUGAGCAUAUAUGCUGUGACCCGAAAGAUGGUGAACUAUACUUGAUCAGGUUGAAGUCAGGGGAAACCCUGAUGGAAGACCGAAACAGUUCUGACGUGCAAAUCGAUUGUCAGAAUUGAGUAUAGGGGCGAAAGACCAAUCGAACCAUCUAGUAGCUGGUUCCUUCCGAAGUUUCCCUCAGGAUAGCUGGUGCAUUUUAAUGUUAUAUAAAAUAAUCUUAUCUGGUAAAGCGAAUGAUUAGAGGCCUUAGGGUCGAAACGAUCUUAACCUAUUCUCAAACUUUAAAUGGGUAAGAACCUUAACUUUCUUGAUAUGAAGUUUAAGGUUAUGAUAUAAUGUGCCCAGUGGGCCACUUUUGGUAAGCAGAACUGGCGCUGUGGGAUGAACCAAACGUAAUGUUACGGUGCCCAAAUUAACAACUCAUGCAGAAACCAUGAAAGGCGUUGGUUGCUUAAAACAGCAGGACGGUGAUCAUGGAAGUCGAAAUCCGCUAAGGAGUGUGUAACAACUCACCUGCCGAAGCAACUAGCCCUUAAAAUGGAUGGCGCUUAAGUUGUAUACCUAUACAUUACCGCUAAAGUAGAUGAUUUAUAUUACUUGUGAUAUAAAUUUUGAAACUUUAGUGAGUAGGAAGGUACAAUGGUAUGCGUAGAAGUGUUUGGCGUAAGCCUUCAUGGAGCUGCCAUUGGCACAGAUCUUGGUGGUAGUAGCAAAUAAUCGAAUGAGACCUUGGAGGACUGAAGUGGAGAAGGGUUUCGUGUGAACAGUGGUUGAUCACGAGUUAGUCGGUCCUAAGUUCAAGGCGAAAGCCGAAAAUUUUCAAGUAAAAAAUCAGUGAGUAAUAUUGUCAAAUCUUUUAUGAUUUUUAAAUACUUGAAUAAUUUUGAACGAAAGGGAAUACGGUUCCAAUUCCGUAACCUGUUGAGUAUCCGUUUGUUAUUAAAUAUGGGCCUCGUGCUCAUCCUGGCAACAGGAACGACCAUAAAGAAGCCGUCGAGAGAUAUCGGAAGAGUUUUCUUUUCUGUUUUAUAGCCGUACUACCAUGGAAGUCUUUCGCAGAGAGAUAUGGUAGAUGGGCUAGAAGAGCAUGACAUAUACUGUUGUGUCGAUAUUUUCUCCUCGGACCUUGAAAAUUUAUGGUGGGGACACGCAAACUUCUCAACAGGCCGUACCAAUAUCCGCAGCUGGUCUCCAAGGUGAAGAGUCUCUAGUCGAUAGAAUAAUGUAGGUAAGGGAAGUCGGCAAAUUAGAUCCGUAACUUCGGGAUAAGGAUUGGCUCUGAAGAUUGAGAUAGUCGGGCUUGAUUGGGAAACAAUAACAUGGUUUAUGUGCUCGUUCUGGGUAAAUAGAGUUUCUAUCAUUUAUGGUAGUUACUUGUUCCCCGGAUAGUUUAGUUACGUAGCCAAUUGUGGAACUUUCUUGCUAAAAUUUUUAAGAAUACUAAUUGGGUUAAACCAGUUAGUUCUUAUUAAUUAUAACGAUUAUCAAUUAACAAUCAAUUCAGAACUGGCACGGACUUGGGGAAUCCGACUGUCUAAUUAAAACAAAGCAUUGUGAUGGCCCUAGCGGGUGUUGACACAAUGUGAUUUCUGCCCAGUGCUCUGAAUGUCAAAGUGAAGAAAUUCAAGUAAGCGCGGGUCAACGGCGGGAGUAACUAUGACUCUCUUAAGGUAGCCAAAUGCCUCGUCAUCUAAUUAGUGACGCGCAUGAAUGGAUUAACGAGAUUCCUACUGUCCCUAUCUACUAUCUAGCGAAACCACAGCCAAGGGAACGGGCUUGGAAUAAUUAGCGGGGAAAGAAGACCCUUUUGAGCUUGACUCUAAUCUGGCAGUGUAAGGAGACAUAAGAGGUGUAGCAUAAGUGGGAGAUAUUAGAUUUCGGUUUGGUAUCGACAAUGAAAUACCACUACUCUUAUUGUUUCCUUACUUACUUGAUUAAAUGGAACGUGUAUCAUUUCCUAGCCAUUAUACGGAUAUAUUUAUUAUAUCUUAUGGUAUUGGGUUUUGAUGCAAGCUUCUUGAUCAAAGUAUCACGAGUUUGUUAUAUAAUCGCAAACAAAUUCUUUAAUGAGAAAAUGCAUUUAUGUAUUUUCAAUUUGAAAAUUUGGUAUAACUCCAAUUACUCAGGUAUGAUCCAAUUCAAGGACAUUGCCAGGUAGGGAGUUUGACUGGGGCGGUACAUCUCUCAAAUAAUAACGGAGGUGUCCCAAGGCCAGCUCAGUGCGGACAGAAACCACACAUAGAGCAAAAGGGCAAAUGCUGACUUGAUCUCGGUGUUCAGUACACACAGGGACAGCAAAAGCUCGGCCUAUCGAUCCUUUUGGUUUAAAGAGUUUUUAACAAGAGGUGUCAGAAAAGUUACCAUAGGGAUAACUGGCUUGUGGCGGCCAAGCGUUCAUAGCGACGUCGCUUUUUGAUCCUUCGAUGUCGGCUCUUCCUAUCAUUGUGAAGCAAAAUUCACCAAGCGUUGGAUUGUUCACCCAUGCAAGGGAACGUGAGCUGGGUUUAGACCGUCGUGAGACAGGUUAGUUUUACCCUACUAAUGACAAAACGUUGUUGCGACAGCAUUCCUGCGUAGUACGAGAGGAACCGCAGGUACGGACCAAUGGCACAAUACUUGUUCGAGCGAACAGUGGUAUGACGCUACGUCCGUUGGAUUAUGCCUGAACGCCUCUAAGGUCGUAUCCGUGCUGGACUGCAAUGAUAAAUAAGGGGCAAUUUGCAUUGU